AUUGAACGCUGGCGGCAGGCCUAACACAUGCAAGUCGAGCGGAUGAAGGGAGCUUGCUCCUGGAUUCAGCGGCGGACGGGUGAGUAAUGCCUAGGAAUCUGCCUGGUAGUGGGGGAUAACGUCCGGAAACGGGCGCUAAUACCGCAUACGUCCUGAGGGUGAAAGUGGGGGAUCUUCGGACCUCACGCUAUCAGAUGAGCCUAGGUCGGAUUAGCUAGUUGGUGGGGUAAAGGCCUACCAAGGCGACGAUCCGUAACUGGUCUGAGUGGAUGAUCAGUCACACUGGAACUGAGACACGGUCCAGACGCCUACGGGAGGCAGCAGUGGGGAAUAUUGGACAAUGGGCGAAAGCCUGCUCCAGCCAUGCCGCGUGUGUGAAGAAGGUCUUCGGAUUGUAAAGCACUUUAAGUUGGGAGGAAGGGCAGUAAGUUAAUACCUUGCUGUUUUGACGUUACCAACAGAAUAAGCACCGGCUAACUUCGUG
rnacentral:rRNA from 1 species